rnacentral:lncRNA from 1 species
GUCUAAACAAAUAAUCAUAUUAAAUAAUGUUAUUUAAAUUUAAAUACUUGAAUGUUCACUUAUUUUAAAAUUCUCCACAUAUAUUUUAGCUGUGACCUACCCUUUAUACCAUUCCUCUGGAAGAUUCCAGCAUUGUUGCCAGCUGAUAUACAGAAUGUUCACUUAUGAUGCAUGGAUGGAGUAACAAAUCCCAUUGAUGCUGAGGAUUGUACAACAGCGUGUCCUGACUUAGUAAGUGGCACCCAGGUGAGAUCCAGCACUGGGGGCACGACUGCAGCCUCUAUCCACAAGAUGCACGUGAGUGUUGGCACCAUCAGAUCUGCUUCGGAUCCCUGGGCAUCGGAAGGAUCCAGAGUACUGGCAGCAGGAACUUACGUCUGCCAGCCCUGUGUCUUGGAUACCUGAGGACACCUGCAGUGAUGCUGGAUCCAGAGUUUCAGAGCUGGGGAGCAGCUACACACUUUUCCCUUGGAGAUUGUGUCAGGGCGCUGGAAGUGGGGGCUGAGGCUGGACUGUUCGAGGUGAGGUAAGGCCAAAGGUAAUUUCAUCAGACACCAGUGGAGCUGGGGAUGGUUCUGUGGUCAGAUGCCUCUUCUCAAAUCGCCCUUCCCUCUCCCUUCAGUGUAUUUGAAGAAACUAAGAAAAAAAGCUUCCGAAGGGCUCUGAAGAGGAUGAUUUGGGCUUUUUUGAGAAAGCAUGUAACUACAGGUCUGUUCCCCGCCGAGGAAGAUGG